CUUCGGGGUGUGACUGCGUACCUUUUGUAUAAUGGGUCAGCGACUUAUAUUCUGUAGCAAGGUUAACCGAAUAGGGGAGCCGGAGGGAAACCGAGUCUUAAUUGGGCGUUAAGUUGCAGGGUAUAGACCCGAAACCCGGUGAUCUAGCCAUGGGCAGGUUGAAGGUUGGGUAACACUAACUGGAGGACCGAACCGACUAAUGUUGAAAAAUUAGCGGAUGACCUGUGGCUGGGGGUGAAAGGCCAAUCAAACCGGGAGAUAGCUGGUUCUCCCCGAAAGCUAUUUAGGUAGCGCCUCGUGAAUUCAUCUCCGGGGGUAGAGCACUGUUUCGGCUAGGGGGCCAUCCCGGCUUACCAACCCGAUGCAAACUGCGAAUACCGGAGAAUGUUAUCACGGGAGACACACGGCGGGUGCUAACGUCCGUCGUGAAGAGGGAAACAACCCAGACCGCCAGCUAAGGUCCCAAAGUCAUGGUUAAGUGGGAAACGAUGUGGGAAGGCCCAGACAGCCAGGAUGUUGGCUUAGAAGCAGCCAUCAUUUAAAGAAAGCGUAAUAGCUCACUGGUCGAGUCGGCCUGCGCGGAAGAUGUAACGGGGCUAAACCAUGCACCGAAGCUGCGGCAGCGAACGUAUCACCCAAGACAACUUUGCGGAGUUGACGAUUGACGGAGCGAAGCGACGUCAAAGCGUUCAUUAAAGUCGAGUUGGCUUAGGGAUACGUUCGUUGGGUAGGGGAGCGUUCUGUAAGCCUGUGAAGGUGUGCUGUGAGGC
rnacentral:rRNA from 1 species